CCUCCUCUUUAACCCUAAUUUCUUCUUUUGCAUUUUUUUCUUUUUGGGAUUUUUAUUAAAUUCAGAUUUCCAUUUUUUUUGUUGUAGAUUUAAUUUGUAUAUUAUCAAUUUCAUGCUUUUUAAUUGUGUAUCUAAUAUUACAAUGCCUCCAAAAGGAAUAAAACUAUAAAAGGAGCACAAAUACGAAUGCUAUGUAUUAUUUGUAUGUUGUAGUCCCUCCCGUUUAGAAUGAAUAUCUGCAUAUAUGAACUUGAUGGGUGUGAUAGAUGUACAAUGGUGUGUAGCACUGAACUUGAAAGAUUGCAAUAAAAGUUGUAAUUGUUGGAUCUAAAGAAUAAGAAUGAGAAGAUGACGAUGGUUGUGGUGAUUUUCAGAACUGAAAAAAUUAAAAAAUUAAUUUGAUUGUAUUAAUAGCGAUGGUGGCAGCGGUG
rnacentral:lncRNA from 1 species